rnacentral:tRNA from 1 species
GGAGUGUAGCUCAUUGGUUGAGUGUCUGUUUAACAUGCAGGAGGCCCUGGGUUUGAACCCAAGCACCA